rnacentral:misc_RNA from 1 species
GAAAUGCGAUAAGUAGUGUGAAUUGCAGAAUUCAGUGAAUCAUCGAAUCUUUGAACGCACAUUGCGCCCCUUGGUAUUCCAUGGGGCAUGCCUGUUCGAGCGUCAUUUGUACCCUCAAGCUCUGCUUGGUGUUGGGUGUUUGUCCCCGUCUCCGCGCGUGGACUCGCCCCAAAGUGAUUGGCAGCCGGCGUACUGGUCCCGGAGCGCAGCACAUGUCGCGUAAACGAGUGCCUUGGUACGGCGGCGUCCAUAAGCCCCUCUCUCACGCUCUUGACCUCGGAUCAGGUAGGGAUACCCGCUGAACUUAAGC